rnacentral:rRNA from 1 species
GUGGGGAAUUUUGCGCAAUGGGCGAAAGCCUGACGCAGCAACGCCGCGUGGAGGAUGAAGGCCUUCGGGUCGUAAACUCCUGUCAGUGGGGACGAAUACUCCGAAAGGAGCUUGACUGUACCCGCUGAGGAAGCCACGGCUAACUCCGUGCCAGCAGCCGCGGUAAUACGGAGGUGGCAAGCGUUGUUCGGAAUUACUGGGCGUAAAGGGCGCGUAGGCGGCAUGGCAAGUCAGAUGUGAAAGCCCCGGGCUUAACUUGGGAAUUGCAUCUGAAACUGCUGUGCUUGAGUCCUGGAGGGGGUAGUGGAAUUCCCAGUGUAGCGGUGAAAUGCGUAGAUAUUGGGAGGAACACCUGUGGCGAAGGCGGCUACCUGGACAGUGACUGACGCUGAUGCGCGAAAGCUAGGGUAGCAAACGGGAUUAGAAACCCUAGUAGUCC